GACGAACGCUGGCGGCGUGCUUAACACAUGCAAGUCGAACGGAAAGGCCCUGCUUUUGUGGGGUGCUCGAGUGGCGAACGGGUGAGUAACACGUGAGUAACCUGCCCUUGACUUUGGGAUAACUUCAGGAAACUGGGGCUAAUACCGGUUAGGAGCUCCUGCUGCAUGGUGGGGGUUGGAAAGUUUCGGCGGUUGGGGAUGGACUCGCGGCUGAUCAGCUUGUUGGUGGGGUAGUGGCUUACCAAGGCUUUGACGGGUAGCCGGCCUGAGAGGGUGACCGGCCACAUUGGGACUGAGAAACGGCCCAGACUCCUACGGGAGGCAGCAGUGGGGAAUAUUGCACAAUGGGCGGAAGCCUGAUGCAGCAACGCCGCGUGCGGGAGGACGGCCUUCGGGUUGGAAACCGCUUUCGCCUGUGACGAAGCGUGAGGGACGGGAAUGGGGAAAGAAGCACCGGCUAACUACGG
rnacentral:rRNA from 1 species